UCUCCGUAGGUGAACCUGCGGAGGGAUCAUUACUGAGUGAGGGCUCACGCCCGACCUCCAACCCUUUGUGAACUCAUCUUGUUGCUUCGGGGGCGACCCUGCCGUUUCGACGGCGAGCGCCCCCGGGGUCAAUCAAACACUGCAUUCUCUGCGUCGGAGUUUAACACAAAUGAAACAAAACUUUCAACAACGGAUCUCUUGGUUCUGGCAUCGAUGAAGAACGCAGC
rnacentral:misc_RNA from 1 species